rnacentral:lncRNA from 1 species
GGGGAAUAAUAGUAUCUACCUCAUACAGGUUGUUAUGAAUAAUAAGUGAGUUAAUAUAUGUAAAAUGCUUAAAAGCAUACCUGUUUCACAAUAGGCACUCAUUAAAUAUUUUUAAAAGUUUACUUUCAUAAAACAAUUUUGUUAAACAAGAAUGAAAAGAAAUUAUGGAAACAUGCUGAAAUAGAAAAAAGAGUAAAAAUCCCUGGCAAAAAUCCACAUUUCACUAGCAUCUGGUACACUUAUGCACAUUAAUGAAACUCACAAUAGAAUUCAAUAUUAAGCAGGUAGCUAAAGUUUUUAAUAGUACUAUACGUCGUUUAUAUGACAUAUAAAACUCAUUGGUGUACUUACAAACUUACUAGUCAUUUACCAUUACGAUUAAAACAGCUGAAAGGGGUUUAAAAAAAGGAUUCUAAUAAUUAUCUGAAUUCAAGUAUGAAAAAUUCUUCUAAAUUAUUAAGUUCUUUAAAAACCAUACUAGGUAAAUAAUAUUAACAUGUUAGUUACCUUUUGUUUCUCAGAGUGAUUGCUGGCUUGUUUGGUUGCCUCAGCCAGUAAUUCUUCAUACUGUUUAUGACCUUU